rnacentral:rRNA from 1 species
GAUGAACGCUGGCGGCGUGCCUAAUACAUGCAAGUCGAGCGAACAGAUGAGGAGCUUGCUCCUCUGACGUUAGCGGCGGACGGGUGAGUAACACGUGGAUAACCUACCUAUAAGACUGGGAUAACUUCGGGAAACCGGUGCUAAUACCGGAUAAUAUAUUGAACCGCAUGGUUCAAUAGUGAAAGACGGUUUUGCUGUCACUUAUAGAUGGGUCCGCGCCGCAUUAGCUAGUUGGUAAGGUAACGGCUUACCAAGGCAACGAUGCGUAGCCGACCUGAGAGGGUGAUCGGCCACACUGGAACUGAGACACGGUCCAGACUCCUACGGGAGGCAGCAGUAGGGAAUCUUCCGCAAUGGGCGAAAGCCUGACGGAGCAACGCCGCGUGAGUGAUGAAGGUCUUCGGAUCGUAAAACUCUGUUAUUAGGGAAGAACAAAUGUGUAAGUAACUAUGCACGUCUUGACGGUACCUAAUCAGAAAGCCACGGCUAACUACGUG